AGAGGCUUAGGAUAGCAUUAAGACCGAGAGCCUUCAAAGCUCUAAGCGGGAGUGAGACUCUCCCAGCCCCUG
rnacentral:tRNA from 1 species